AUGGUCACCUCAGUGUUGUGCUGCCUGCAGUGCUGCAGAGACAGUGGGACCAGCCACAUCCUUCUGAAGGUUAUGCCAGUCAUGCAGCAGGACAUAUGACACAUGGGAACAGAUGUUGUCAUUGUAAAAAAUGACAGAAGAAUAUAUGGAACAUGAGAUUGUUUAGCCAGUGCACUUUUACAUCAAAACAAAAGCUACUAUGACUUCAAGAUCCACUUCACAGGAAUCUGGGACACUGGUGUUGCUUCACAGAAAGUAAAUUUGAAUCAGAGACCUCUUGGCCAAGACGUACACAGUCUGGUGAUGGGAAAUAAGGAGCCCUGUACCACAAUAAUAAAGAGAAAAAUAGGCUGCUAGCAAACAGCCUUCCACAGAAGGGACAUGCGGGGGUAUUACAUAUGACCAUGUAGAAUAUACACUUGAAUGGAAAAAUAUGCAUUGUCUAACAUCAAGUAUCAAGGGACACCGGAUCCAGUUAGUUAUGUUGAUAAGAAUGUAACUGGAUUUUCAGUUCAGUGAAUUUUAUCAUACUCUUCCACCAGGUUUUGAAAAAAAUAUAUUAUUUGAACA
rnacentral:lncRNA from 1 species